UACAAGUAUCACACAGAGCUUUAAAAAA
rnacentral:piRNA from 1 species